AACUAAAGAGUCUACGUAAGUGUGGAGUAGUCAAACGAAGUAGUCCUCUUUAUAGCCUAAACCCAAUACUUAAGUGUGAUAUCAUCAGGGUUGGUGGACGCCUUGAUAACGCAUUGAUUUCUGAACACUCUAAACACCCAAUUAUACUGGCAAAAGAUCUACACAUUUCUAACCUAAUCCUGCGACAAAUUCAUGAAGAAGUGGGACAUAGUGGACGGAACUUCAUGUUGGCGGCUCUUCGACAGCGAUAUUGGAUCCCUGGAGCUAGCGUAGCCAUAAGAACAUUUCUGUCAAAAUGUGUAGUGUGUAAAAGGUUCAACGCAAUUGCAGGUCAUCAACAAAUGGCUGAUUUGCCUCAGGAUCGUGUCUCCCCAGACAAACCACCCUUUACUUAUGUUGGACUAGAUUGUUUCGGCCCAUUUGAAGUAAAGCGAGGGAGAACCACUCUAAAGCGUUAUGGAGUCCUUUUCACCUGCUUGAACAUUAGAGCUGUUCACAUUGAGAUGGUUGCAUCAUUGGAUACUGACUCAUUCAUUCACGCACUCAGACGCUUUAUCGCUCGACGAGGACAAGUGGCUGAAAUACGUUCAGAUAAUGGAACUAACUUCGUUGGAGCCGAUCGUGAAUUAAAAGAGGCGAUACAAAAUUGGAACCACAGUCAGAUAUACGAUGUUCUUCUACAAAAGAAGAUUAAAUGGACUUUCAAUCCUCCUACCGGUUCACACCAUGGGGGGAUCUGGGAAAGGCUCAUCAGGUCAAUAAAGAAAAUACUAAACUCCAUUCUUCGAGGGCAAAGUUUAAAUGAAGAAGGUCUUCAUACUUUCCUGUGUGAAGUAGAGUCUAUACUUAACAACCGACCCAUAACUAGAUCAUCUUUGGAUCCUGAUGACAUGGAAGCUUUAACACCUAAUCAUCUUCUCCUUCUAAAAACAAAGUCUACAUUACCACCCGGAUUGUUUGAGAAGGAAGAUUUGUAUGCCCGUCGAAGAUGGCGUCAAAUUCAGUAUUUAGCCAACCAAUUUUGGAAAAGAUGGAUUGGUGAAUAUCUACCUUUAUUACAGGAACGGCAGAAGUGGAUGGUGAGGACAAGGAACUAUCAGUUGGGAGAUGUUGUACUGAUAAUGGAUGAAAAUGCACCAAGGAGUUCCUGGAUCAUGGGCAAAAUUAUUCACACGAUAAACGACAAAAAAGGAUUCACACGGCAAGUUAAGAUUAAGACUAUGAGUACCUGCCUGACCAGGCCAAUCACAAAAAUUUGUCGCCUUCUUGAAGCUGAGGAAUUUAAAGAUUAGCUAUGACUGACAUUUGAGAGCUCUCAACUGACUCUUUCGACUUGACCUUUUGACUUGGACUUGAUUGAAUUACUUGAUCUUACUGACUUAGGACUGGACUUUUACUUUUACUUUACUUUUUGCUUCAUGCGGCUACAAUGAUGAACAUUUUGAGUGAUCUGGACAUUUUCACACAUACAUUUUCUCACAUUUCCUUUUUG
ensembl:lncRNA